CUCCACAUUAGCUUUGUGUAAGGUCUGUUAGCGCCACAUUAGCUUUAUGUAAGGUCUGUUAGCGCCACAUUAGCUUUGUGUAAGGUCUGUUAGCGCCACAUUAGCUUUGUGUAAGGUCUGUUAGCGCCACAUUAGCUUUGUGUAAGGUCUGUUAGCGCCACAUUAGCUUUGUGUAAGGUCUGUUAGCUCCACAUUAGCUUUGUGUAAGGUCUGUUAGUGCCACAUUAGUUUUGUCUUCCUCUUAGCUCUACAUUAGUUUGCACCAUUUGUUUUAUAACACCUAUGCUCAGGUGUGAGCAGUCAACUAACUCCAUGAUGAAAGUGUAAGAUGUCCCACCCACACAGGUACAACAGUGCUAACCGGUCUAUGAGGGAGCUGUCAAUCAAGCCGUGUGGACAUGACUUCCAAUCAGAGGAAAUGAAAACAGCUGUUCAUUCACAACAUGACACUGGAGUCACAAACACACGUGUUUGAAGGUUUUGCAGUGAAUUUAUUUUUUGUUUACAUCACUUUAUUAUCUGAAAGAUAAAAACAGUCAACUCAGUGUUUCCUGUGAAUGUGUGAAAAUAAAAUACAUGUAAGAGUCUUUAUGUUGGGGUGACUUCCUGUUCACCAUUUACCUGUCCACCUGUUCACAAUCACACAUCAGUUCGUAGCGACGCAGUGACACUGAAGGCCCUCAGCAUCCACUUCAUUUGGUUUAGAUUUAGAUUUUUCUCCUUUCAAUCAAUCAAACUUUAUUUGUAUCACACUUUUCAUACAAAAUAUGUAAAACAAAGUGCUUCACGCAAUAACCCCUCGUUAGUGUGAUGAUAAUAAUUAUCAUCCAUCAUGUCCAGGUGAGCCAUUUUCCCUCCGCAGACACUCAACUCUUCUGUUCAGGACGACAGGAGCAGGAAAUAUUUAGACGAAGAUGAGUCACUGUGGAGGCAGCAGAGGGAGUUAUCAGGUCACACACACACAGUUUCUUUUAACUUUAUUAAUUGGUUUUCACAAUUGA